rnacentral:rRNA from 1 species
UACGUAGGGCGCAAGCGUUAUCCGGAAUUAUUGGGCGUAAAGAGCUCGUAGGCGGUUUGUCGCGUCUGCCGUGAAAGUCCGGGGCUCAACUCCGGAUCUGCGGUGGGUACGGGCAGACUAGAGUGAUGAGGGAGACUGGAAUUCCUGGGUGUAGCGGUGAAAUGCGCAGAUAUCAGGAGGAACACCCGUGGCGAAAGCGGCUCUCUGGGACGGU